rnacentral:rRNA from 1 species
AUUGAACGCUGGCGGCAGGCCUAACACAUGCAAGUCGAACGGGUGGCGGGCGGGUGAGUAAUGUCUGGGCCACUGCCCGAUGGAUGGGGUCAACUACUGGGAACGGAUGCUACUACCGUAUACCUUCGCAUAUGCCCAGAUGGGAUUAGCUAGUAGGUGGGGUAACGGCUCACCAAGGCGACGAUCCCUAGCUGGUCUGAGAGGAUGACCAGCCACACUGGAACUGAGACACGGUCCAGACUCCUACGGGAGGCAGCAGUGGGGAAUAUUGCACAAUGGGCGCAAGCCUGAUGCAGCCAUGCCGCGUGUAUGAAGAAGGCCUUCGGGUUGUAAAGUACUUUCAGCGAGGAGGCGUUACUCGCAGAAGAAGCACCGGCUAACUCCGUGCCAGCAGCCGCGGUAAUUC